AUUGAACGCUGGCGGCAGGCUUAACACAUACAAGUCGAGCGGGGUGAUGGUGCUUGCACUAUCACUUAGCGGCGGACGGGUGAGUAAUGCUUAGGAAUCUGCCUAUUAGUGGGGGACAACAUCCCGAAAGGGAUGCUAAUACCGCAUACGUCCUACGGGAGAAAGCAGGGGAUCACUUGUGACCUUGCGCUAAUAGAUGAGCCUAAGUCGGAUUAGCUAGUUGGUGGGGUAAAGGCCUACCAAGGCGACGAUCUGUAGCGGGUCUGAGAGGAUGAUCCGCCACACUGGGACUGAGACACGGCCCAGACUCCUACGGGAGGCAGCAGUGGGGAAUAUUGGACAAUGGGGGGAACCCUGAUCCAGCCAUGCCGCGUGUGUGAAGAAGGCCUUGUGGUUGUAAAGCACUUUAAGCGAGGAGGAGGCUCUUUUGGUUAAUACCCAAGAUGAGUGGACGUUACUCGCAGAAUAAGCACCGGCUAACUCUGUGCCAGCCGCCGCGGUAA
rnacentral:rRNA from 1 species